CCCUUAGAUGUUCUGGGCCGCACGCGCGCUACAAUGAUGCGGGCAACGAGUGCUGCUCCUUGGCCGAAAGGCUUGGGGAACCUUGAAAACUGCAUCGUGCUAGGGAUAGAUGAUUGCAAUCGUGCGUCUUGAACGAGGAAUGCCUUGUAAGCGUGAGUCAUCAACUCGCGCUGAAUACGUCCCUGCCCUUUGUACACACCGCCCGUCGCUCCUACCGAUUGGAUGGUCCGGUGAACUGGUCGGACUGAUAAUCGUCACUGCGGGUGCAGUAGCAUUACGGAAAGUCCGGUGAACCUUAUCAUCUAGAGGAAGGAGAAGUCGUAACA
rnacentral:rRNA from 1 species